GCAGUUCAUCAGGACGAAGCACACCGUCAUAUACCGAGCGCGUCGGCGCUGUCCCGCCUUUCGGCCGCCAUGCCGCACACAAGCCACACUGCGCGGUCGCUGAUAUUCUACAGUGGCUAUGACAGGUCGCGACGCCGUCUGCCCGCGCCCAAAUGCCUCCCGCAGGUGAUACACGGCGGUGGUCGCUCGCAUUGUUACCCGACCAGUAGCG